GACGAACGCUGGCGGCGUGCUUAAUACAUGCAAGUCGAGCGAGGUUACUGUUUCGGAUCCCUUCGGGGUGAAGAAGCUUUAACCUAGCGGCGGACGGGUGAGUAACGCGUGGGUAACCUACCCCAAAGUCCGGGAUAACAGCGGGAAACCGCUGCUAAUACCGGAUGCCUUUACCUUGGGGCAUCUUGAGGUAAAGAAAGGUAACGCUUUGGGAUGGGCCCGCGUCCCAUUAGCUAGUUGGUGAGGUAACGGCUCACCAAGGCGACGAUGGGUAGCCGGCCUGAGAGGGUGGACGGCCACACUGGGACUGAGACACGGCCCAGACUCCUACGGGAGGCAGCAGUAGGGAAUAUUGCGCAAUGGACGGAAGUCUGACGCAGCGACGCCGCGUGAGCGAUGAAGGUCUUCGGAUCGUAAAGCUCUGUCCUUGGGGAAGAAGGCGAAAGCUUGACGGUACCCAAGAAGAAAGCCCCGGCUAACUACGUG
rnacentral:rRNA from 1 species